rnacentral:misc_RNA from 1 species
GUAGUCACCCGGGUUGCCGCAAGGCCUCUCGGGUAACCUACCACCCUUUGUUUAUUACACUUUGUUGCUUUGGCAAGCCUGCCCUCGGGCUGCUGGCUCCGGCCGGCGAGCGCUUGCCAGAGGACCUAAACUCUGUUUGUCUAUAAUGUCUGAGUACAAAUAUAAAUCAAUCAAAACUUUCAACAACGGAUCUCUUGGUUCU